GUAGGAUCCUAGCGUUAUCCGGAUUUACUGGGUGUAAAGGGUGCGCAGGCGGACUUGUAAGUCAGGGGUGAAAUCUCAUCGCUUAACGGUGAAACUGCCUUUGAUACUAUAAGCCUUGAGUUUGGUAGAGAUCCGUGGAAUUCCGAGUGUAGCAGUGAAAUGUGUAGAUAUUCGGAAGAACACCAGUGGCGAAGGCAGCGGAUUGGGCCAAUACUGACGCUCAGGCACGAAAGCAUGGGGAUCAAACAGGAUUAGAUACCCUGGUAGUCCAUGCCCUAAACGAUGUACACUUGAUGUCGGCAUUUAACGUGUCGGUGUCGGAGCUAACGUGUUAAGUGUACCACCUGGGGAGUACGCUCGCAAGGGUG
rnacentral:rRNA from 1 species